UACGGAGGGUGCAAGCGUUGUCCGGAAUCACUGGGCGUAAAGGGUGCGUAGGCGGCGCGGUAAGUCGGGUGUGAAAUCUCGGAGCUUAACUCCGAAACUGCAUUCGAUACUGCCGUGCUUGAGGACUGGAGAGGAGACUGGAAUUUACGGUGUAAGCGGUGAAAUGCGUAGGAUAUCGUAAGGAAGACCAGUGGCGAAGGCGGGUCUCUG
rnacentral:rRNA from 1 species